GGUUAAGCUGCCUAUCAUGAAGCAGAAACCAUCAGAUAGCCGCGACCACGCAAGGUUUUAAACCACGGGUGACCAUCUUUACGAUCCGGCAGUUUACGACGCAGGUUGGAAAUGU
rnacentral:misc_RNA from 1 species